ensembl:lncRNA
AUAUCAAGCAGACUGACUUUAUUUGUAACUUCCAACUUCCAUUGUAAUUAAUCAUCAUUAAUCAUCACCGGGAUCACAUCAGUUAACAGUGUUAUUGCCGCCGUCUCUAUUACCUUCACAGUCACCAUCCGCUCAAAUAAUGAAAUUACAUUAUCUUAAACAGGCCGGUGACGAACGCUUUAAUCUGCUGUGAUAUUGACAAUCUCAUUAUCAGUUACAUAGUAAGUAGCUUAAAUACUGAGGACAUUUUGCUCGACGGUGCUUGAACAGAAAGCCCGGUCUCGGCUUCACACGUCACUGUGUAAGACAAUAAUGCGCUGUAUGUGACAUUAUUGUUUCAAACCCAUAGAGGCUGCAUGUACAUUACAACUACACUGUGGUGACAAUCCGUUUGUUUGACAUUCGAUCACACGCAAUCCAGCAGCAUGAAAUAUUCAGCAGGAAAGGAAAUGUGAACUGAAAUGCGAAGUUAGCGCCGAGACAGCGAGAGAGCUUGCGUACAGGGCAGCGGCAAAGCGGACUAAAUAACGUCAGGCGACACAGUCGACGUUUGCUGCGUCUUUAACCCGUAUCAACACAUUUUUAAACUCAGCCUGACUCUAAUGUGACCUCAAUCAUACAAUCAGCCUUUAACCAGACACUGUGUAUCUGCAGGAUAAUUAUAUAUUGCUUUAAACUUCAGAGGAGGACACGUAAAUACAGCGAGACGACAGUGAUGUGAUUAUAUGCGUUUGAGCUUUUACACGCGACCAUUUUUUGUGCUAUUGAUUAUCGUCUUUCGUGUCGGAGCGGCAGACUGACUGCCUUAAGGUGGUGACACAUCGUUGCAUCAGCGACACACAGCUGCUCUUUAUUGCAGUGCAAAAACAAAGGGCACGGAUACUGUAUCACCGCGGACACAGGGCUCGUUAGACGUAUGCUUUUUCACGUUCCCAAAAGAGCGUGAACAGAACAUUGCUGUUGUAAUUGCUGUUAUCAGGGAGACUUAAUGCAACUCACGCUGUUGUGUUUGAGGUCAAAGGUCAAAAUGCUUGUUAGUAUGUAUGAAUGUUACAAUUAUUGUCUGUAUACGCAGCAAUUUCAGCUGCAUUUCGACAGUCCAACAUGUACAGAGUCAAAGAAAUCCAUUUGUGACACCUGGUCACACUUUUGUAUUUGUUUAGCCAGCAAGGUAUUUAUGAAAAUGAAGGCUCAUCAUGCAGCUGGAAUCCACGUGACUUCAAGUCAAACCAUUUAACUUUUUUUUUUAAAUUGUUUUUUACGGUGUUUGACAAACUUGGUAUGACUACUCGACUCACCCCAUGACCACGAGAAAAACAGUAACAGUAUUGACAACAAUACAUCGGUCAUAAUUGCUAGAGCAUUUUAUAAGAUAUUCAAGUGGUGACGUUGGUGAAACGGUGGAAAAUGAGAGCAGGAUUUUGUGUCUGAGCGAAGAAAGAAAAGCGUGUAUGAGAAAGGAAACCGUCGUGCAUUCGACUGCUCUAAGAGGAGUGUUGAACACAGUCCAACUUCCUCCGUGUCGCUUUGUGUCGUGCAGCGCAAAACGGCCAGACGAUAAGUUGUUUGUGUAGGUGAAAUGGAAGCUAGGUCACAAAAUGUUAAAAAUGUCUUUGUCUAAUAGUGUAGCGCCCACUGCUUGUGGUUAUACGUUCAGAAAGCCGCUUAGCAACACAUACAAGUCCAGCCAGAAGCAGGGGCAUGAGCAAUACUGCUCGGCAACACAUUCAGUCACAGUUAAAGGAAAAGAAUAAAAUCAGCAGAGGCUGAGAUGAUUAAAGCACAAUCAGAUCAGACACAAGCGACGUCAACCAGUGAUGUCACAGCAUGUGCUUUAAAAAUAAAUAAAUCAAUUAAAAAAAAAAAAAGGAAAAUCUGCAGCUAAACAAAUCACCUGGUUUCACAUCACCAGCUGGUGUGUACAGAUGCUUAAGUCUCAAACCCACAAAGCAUGGGACAGCAGCUGUUUUCUACACUGGGUCGCUGUUGGUGGUUUAUCCCCAUUAACCUUCAUAUAUAUAAGGCUCUGCUGCCAUCUGGUGGAUGAAAGUCACGUGCCAGGUUCUAUCAGGCAAACCACCAAGUAUUAAAAACAUUCUAGGUGGAUUUACACGUGAACAGCACCUCAGCUAUGAAACAAUUAACAAACAUUUGUAAGAAACAAAAAUGUGCAUGUUGAUGAUGAAGUUUAGUCGCUUCAUGUAAAUGUUUGCUUCUGCCCCACAGUCCACGAGCACAGAUCACACUGUUGCACAUUGUGUGGAUCUGGUGAAGCCACCUGUGUGAGCUGUUAAUGUGCAUGUAUAUAAGCGCAGGCAUUCUCUGUAAGUUUUUUACUUUUUUUUUUGCUUUGGCAUGUUGAUGGAUUUAUGAAGAAAAGCUUUUGUUGUCCCAGGAACGCAGCAAUUAACUGAAAUCCUGAGCAGAAAACGUUGGCAACACAAAGGCAGCGUAGCAGGAAAGUUCCAUGCUUUCAGUGUGUGUGUACGUGCGCGCAUGUUUGUGUUUGGAGACUGCAUGUGUGCGGUGAUUAUGGGUUUUGGGAUGAAUGCCACUCUAGUCUAAAACAAGCUGUAGUAAUGGCCGCUUUACUGCUGUGACUAAACAUGCAAGCGCGAGUGUGAGUGUGUGUUUGUGUAAGACAUCAUGGGCACAAAGAUCUCUUGGCACACCUGAAGUGGCUGACACACUUUUGACACACUCAGAGAUACUAAAACAUGAUAUAAAUAUCCAGUAACAACAAGUAUUAGUGUAAUACACUUAUUUAAGAUGAACAAAUGAGCAAAUAAGACUUGUAAGCAAGUAUAACUGCAUCCAAACCACAACUUGAGGCUCAUCAACCCAAGCUGACUGGGCCAGGAGCAUUGUCAGUUUUACAAAAAUAACAAAAAUAAUAAUAAAAACCAGCAAAGAUAAGUGUAAGCUUACAAAAGCAUCUGGAUCACUUAAACAACCUGAAAAACGUCUACAAAUGUAGAUGAUAUAAAAGUAGCAAAUCACUGACUGAACUGACAGAUUCAGGUUUUCAGUUAGAGCUCGUUACUUUUCACCGCGAAGAUCAAAAACACAUACUGAACAGUAGCCACGUUAUUACAGUGAAACAAAAGUCCGAGAAUUAGUGAGAACAAUGCGAUUAUACAAAUAAAUGAACACAGGAGUGUGUUCGGUGCUUUUUCCAGUGCUUCUUUUUGUUUAGGGACAUGAAUGGAGUCAGUUUUAUCCACAGGUCAAUAGACUGAGAUAAUGACUGAUUAUGUAAAAAUAAUUGUCAUUUUAAUCUCACAUUUUCAGCAUUUUUCCACUUCUUCGCUCCUCGACAGUUUUGCUUCCCCUCAUUAUUUGCGCCGAUUCCCUCCCAAAAGCUACACAAGAUCCAGUGUGUGUGAAUGUGUGUCAGAGUGUGCGUGCAUGUAUGUGUCCCCUACGCCAAAACCAGGUCAGCAGUCAUGCUCCACUUUCUCUCUCCAGAAAGUUGCGAUGAGAGAACUUUUCCCCGUUGUCUCUGCUCGAUCCACAUCCGUGUCUGCGUGCGGUAAACGUGUCCGUUUACUGCCAUCGCUCGCAAAGUUGAUCCAGCAUUGUUUCUGCCUCGUGGCUCUUUACUCGGCUCUUUCCGUGUGCUUUUCAUUCCCUUGUGAACAGGAAGCAGAGAGAGAGAGAACGAGGGAGACGCUUCCGACAUCAGAUAGUGGCUGGAGUGACCUCUGAAGGGCGCUAUGCAGGAAAGGUCAACAAAUGUUCAUCGAACUACUUUAGCGUGUUUAGUGUGCUUUGGAAAGUAUCAGCAUCAAAGCACUGAAGGUCUCACUGUCUGUGCCGAUUGCCUCUCCUGGGCUGAGACGUGACAACGCAGGAAGUAGGACACAGCUAUCCAUGCCCUUGUCUACAUACGUCUAAAAUAUCUGAAUCGGUGCAGAUUGUUCAUCGAUCGCUACUUUUUGGCACUGCGUUUUGCAACGAUAGCCAUAUUUGCUACACAGCUAUUAGUAGCUAACAUGCAUCUCUAUGCCAGCAAACGUUUACACAUUUUAUGCUGAGGCGAUGUUUUUCAGAGAGCACUGUUUCUUAUUUGCAGAUGAUUCUCAGAGAGUAGGAGGUAGCAGAGUUAGGGCCACAGUUCUUUCACAGGGCUGAUAAUGACAGAUCGUUAGUGGGAGUUAACCUCAUACUGUAUUUCCUCAUUCGCAAUUUUGUUGUCUGUGCGAUAAAAAAGGAAGCAAUUAAAUCUCUGAUUGCUGCUUACUGUAAGUGUUACUUCCCAUGCAGUCCAAUCUUAUGGACAUAAAUGAGAUAAAGAGGUCAUUUUCCA